rnacentral:lncRNA from 1 species
CUGAGCAUUGAUUGAAACUGAAACUUGAAAUCCUUCAGUGCCUCUGCAGAGCCUACGGUGUAAACUCCAAGAUCCUUGAUAUGAGUUACAAGAUGCUCUUUUGAGUUGGCAUUUGUCUCUUCUGGGCCUACUCUCCAUUCACUCCCCACCUCACAUGUAACACCUAGUAGCACUUAGUUCCUGGAACACAAUUAACUGCUUCAUGCCUAUGGGCAUUUGUUCAUGCUUUUCCCUUUUGAUUAGAAAUAAACCUCUGUAGGCC